rnacentral:rRNA from 1 species
UACGGAGGGUGCAAGCGUUGCUCGGAAUCAUUGGGCGUAAAGCGUACGCAGGCUGUUCGUUAAGUCGGGUGUGAAAGCCCAGGGCUCAACCCUGGAACGGCGCCCGAAACUGGCGAGCUUGAGUGCGGGAGAGGGAAGCGGAAUUCCUGGUGUAGAGGUGAAAUUCGUAGAUAUCAGGAGGAACACCGGUGGCGAAAGCGGCUUCCUGGCCCGACACUGACGCUCAUGUACGAAAGCGUGGGGAGCAAACAGG